rnacentral:siRNA from 1 species
GACACACGACUACUCAGAUGGGAU